rnacentral:rRNA from 1 species
GGCGGUAGGCUUAACACAUGCAAGUCGAGCGAGAAAGUAUCUUCGGAUACGAGUAUAGCGGCGGACGGGUGAGUAACGCGUAGGAAUCUACCUAGUAGAAGGGGAUAGCCCGGGGAAACUCGGAUUAAUACCGUAUACCUCCUUUGGGAGAAAGAGGGCCUCUCUUGAUGCUCUCGCUAUUAGAUGAGCCUGCGUAAGAUUAGCUUGUUGGUAAGGUAAUGGCUUACCAAGGCUACGAUCUUUAGCUGGUCUGAGAGGACGAUCAGCCACAUUGGGACUGAGACACGGCCCAGACUCCUACGGGAGGCAGCAGUGGGGAAUAUUGGACAAUGGGCGCAAGCCUGAUCCAGCCAUACCGCGUGUGUGAAGAAGGCCUUCGGGUUGUAAAGCACUUUAAGCAGGGAGAAAAAGUUAUAAGUUAAUACCUUAUAGCCGUGAUGUUACCUGCAGAAUAAGCACCGGCUAAUUCCGUGCCAGCAGCCGCGGUAAUACGGAAGGUGCAAGCGUUAAUCGGAAUUACUGGGCGUAAAGCGCGCGUAGGUGGUUUGUUAAGUUGGAUGUGAAAGCCCUGGGCUCAACCUAGGAACUGCAUCCAAAACUAAUUCACUAGAGUACGAUAGAGGGAGGUAGAAUUCAUAGUGUAGCGGUGGAAUGCGUAGAUAUUAUGAAGAAUACCAGUGGCGAAGGCGGCCUCCUGGAUCUGUACUGACACUAAGGUGCGAAAGCGUGGGUAGCGAACAGGAUUAGAUACCCUGGUAGUCCACGCCGUAAACGAUGACAACUAGCUGUUGGGAGACAAUGUCUUUCAGUGGCGCAGCUAACGUUUUAAGUUGUCCGCC